rnacentral:rRNA from 1 species
GGUUAAGCGACUAAGCGUACACGGUGGAUGCCCUGGCAGUCAGAGGCGAUGAAGGGCGUGCUAAUCUGCGAUAAGCGCCGGUAAGGUGAUAUGAACCGUUAUAACCGGCGAUACCCGAAUGGGGAAACCCAGUGUGAUUCGUCACACUAUCAUUAACUGAAUCCAUAGGUUAAUGAGGCGAACCGGGGGAACUGAAACAUCUAAGUACCCCGAGGAAAAGAAAUCAACCGAGAUUCCCCCAGUAGCGGCGAGCGAACGGGGAGGAGCCCAGAGCCUGAAUCAGCAUGUGUGUUAGUGGAAGCGUCUGGAAAGGCGCGCGAUACAGGGUGACAGCCCCGUACACAAAAGCGCAUGUGCUGUGAGCUCGAUGAGUAGGGCGGGACACGUGGUAUCCUGUCUGAAUAUGGGGGGACCAUCCUCCAAGGCUAAAUACUCCUGACUGACCGAUAGUGAACCAGUACCGUGAGGGAAAGGCGAAAAGAACCCCGGCGAGGGGAGUGAAAAAGAACCUGAAACCGUGUACGUACAAGCAGUGGGAGCACAGGUUUACCUGUGUGACUGCGUACCUUUUGUAUAAUGGGUCAGCGACUUAUAUUCUGUAGCAAGGUUAACCGAAUAGGGGAGCCGGAGGGAAACCGAGUCUUAAUUGGGCGUUAAGUUGCAGGGUAUAGACCCGAAACCCGGUGAUCUAGCCAUGGGCAGGUUGAAGGUUGGGUAACACUAACUGGAGGACCGAACCGACUAAUGUUGAAAAAUUAGCGGAUGACCUGUGGCUGGGGGUGAAAGGCCAAUCAAACCGGGAGAUAGCUGGUUCUCCCCGAAAGCUAUUUAGGUAGCGCCUCGUGAAUUCAUCUCCGGGGGUAGAGCACUGUUUCGGCUAGGGGGCCAUCCCGGCUUACCAACCCGAUGCAAACUGCGAAUACCGGAGAAUGUUAUCACGGGAGACACACGGCGGGUGCUAACGUCCGUCGUGAAGAGGGAAACAACCCAGACCGCCAGCUAAGGUCCCAAAGUCAUGGUUAAGUGGGAAACGAUGUGGGAAGGCCCAGACAGCCAGGAUGUUGGCUUAGAAGCAGCCAUCAUUUAAAGAAAGCGUAAUAGCUCACUGGUCGAGUCGGCCUGCGCGGAAGAUGUAACGGGGCUAAACCAUGCACCGAAGCUGCGGCAGCGACGCUGAUGCGUUGUUGGGUAGGGGAGCGUUCUGUAAGCCUGCGAAGGUGGCCUGUGAGGGUUGCUGGAGGUAUCAGAAGUGCGAAUGCUGACAUAAGUAACGAUAAAGCGGGUGAAAAGCCCGCUCGCCGGAAGACCAAGGGUUCCUGUCCAACGUUAAUCGGGGCAGGGUGAGUCGACCCCUAAGGCGAGGCCGAAAGGCGUAGUCGAUGGGAAACGGGUUAAUAUUCCCGUACUUGGUGUUACUGCGAAGGGGGGACGGAGAAGGCUAUGUUGGCCGGGCGACGGUUGUCCCGGUUUAAGCGUGUAGGUGUGUGUUCCAGGUAAAUCCGGUUCACUUUAACACUGAGGCGUGAUGACGAGGCACUACGGUGCUGAAGCAACAAAUGCCCUGCUUCCAGGAAAAGCCUCUAAGCAUCAGGUAACAUCAAAUCGUACCCCAAACCGACACAGGUGGUCAGGUAGAGAAUACCAAGGCGCUUGAGAGAACUCGGGUGAAGGAACUAGGCAAAAUGGUGCCGUAACUUCGGGAGAAGGCACGCUGACACGUAGGUGAAGUGAUUUACUCAUGGAGCUGAAGUCAGUCGAAGAUACCAGCUGGCUGCAACUGUUUAUUAAAAACACAGCACUGUGCAAACACGAAAGUGGACGUAUACGGUGUGACGCCUGCCCGGUGCCGGAAGGUUAAUUGAUGGGGUCAGCGCAAGCGAAGCUCCUGAUCGAAGCCCCGGUAAACGGCGGCCGUAACUAUAACGGUCCUAAGGUAGCGAAAUUCCUUGUCGGGUAAGUUCCGACCUGCACGAAUGGCGUAAUGAUGGCCAGGCUGUCUCCACCCGAGACUCAGUGAAAUUGAACUCGCUGUGAAGAUGCAGUGUACCCGCGGCAAGACGGAAAGACCCCGUGAACCUUUACUAUAGCUUGACACUGAACAUUGAGCCUUGAUGUGUAGGAUAGGUGGGAGGCUUUGAAGUGUGGACGCCAGUCUGCAUGGAGCCGACCUUGAAAUACCACCCUUUAAUGUUUGAUGUUCUAACGUGGACCCGUGAUCCGGGUUGCGGACAGUGUCUGGUGGGUAGUUUGACUGGGGCGGUCUCCUCCUAAAGAGUAACGGAGGAGCACGAAGGUUGGCUAAUCCUGGUCGGACAUCAGGAGGUUAGUGCAAUGGCAUAAGCCAGCUUGACUGCGAGCGUGACGGCGCGAGCAGGUGCGAAAGCAGGUCAUAGUGAUCCGGUGGUUCUGAAUGGAAGGGCCAUCGCUCAACGGAUAAAAGGUACUCCGGGGAUAACAGGCUGAUACCGCCCAAGAGUUCAUAUCGACGGCGGUGUUUGGCACCUCGAUGUCGGCUCAUCACAUCCUGGGGCUGAAGUAGGUCCCAAGGGUAUGGCUGUUCGCCAUUUAAAGUGGUACGCGAGCUGGGUUUAGAACGUCGUGAGACAGUUCGGUCCCUAUCUGCCGUGGGCGCUGGAGAACUGAGGGGGGCUGCUCCUAGUACGAGAGGACCGGAGUGGACGCAUCACUGGUGUUCGGGUUGUCAUGCCAAUGGCACUGCCCGGUAGCUAAAUGCGGAAGAGAUAAGUGCUGAAAGCAUCUAAGCACGAAACUUGCCCCGAGAUGAGUUCUCCCUGAGACUUAGAGUCUCCUGAAGGAACGUUGAAGACGACGACGUUGAUAGGCCGGGUGUGUAAGCGCAGCGAUGCGUUGAGCUAACCGGUACUAAUGAACCGUGAGGCUUAACCUU